GACGAACGCUGGCGGCGUGCCUAAUACAUGCAAGUAGAACGCAGUUGCGAACGGGUGAGUAACGCGUAGGUAACUGCCUGGUAGCGGGGGAUAACUAUUGGAAACGAUAGCUAAUACCGCAUACUACCAGAUGGACCUGCGUUGUAUUAGGUAGUUGGUGAGGUAACGGCUCACCAAGGCAACGAUACAUAGCCGACCCGAGAGGGUGGUCGGCCACACUGGGACGGAGACACGGGCCCGACUCCUACGGGCGGCAGCAGUAGGGAAGCAUCGGAAAUGGGGGGAACCCUGACCGCGCACAGCCGCGUGAGUGAAGAAGGUUUUCGGAUCGUAAAGCUCUGUUGUUCAGGAAGCGGUACUUACACAGAAAGGAACGGCUAACUACGUGCCAGCAGCCGCGGUAAUUC
rnacentral:rRNA from 1 species